rnacentral:rRNA from 1 species
AAAGAGCUCGUAGGCGGUUUGUCGCGUCUGCUGUGAAAACCCGAGGCUCAACCUCGGGCCUGCAGUGGGUACGGGCAGACUAGAGUGCGGUAGGGGAGACUGGAAUUCCUGGUGUAGCGGUGGAAUGCGCAGAUAUCAGGAGGAACACCGAUGGCGAAGGCAGGUCUCUGGGCCGCAACUGACGCUGAGGAGCGAAAGCAUGGGGAGCGAACAGGAUUAGAUACCCUGGUAGUCCAUGCCGUAAACGUUGGGCACUAGGUGUGGGGCUCAUUCCACGAGUUCCGUGCCGCAGCAAACGCAUUAAGUGCCCCGCCUGGGGAGUACGGCCGCAAGGCUAAAACUCAAAGGAAUUGACGGGGGCCCGCACAAGCGGCGGAGCAUGCGGAUUAAUUCGAUGCAACGCGAAGAACCUUACCAAGGCUUGACAUAUACCGAAAACUCAUGGAGACAUGGGGUCCGCAAGGGCGGUAUACAGGUGGUGCAUGGUUGUCGUCAGCUCGUGUCGUGAGAUGUUGGGUUAAGUCCCGCAACGAGCGCAACCCUCGUCCUAUGUUGCCAGCACGUCAUGGUGGGGACUCAUAGGAGACUGCCGGGGUCAACUCGGAGGAAGGUGGGGAUGA